rnacentral:rRNA from 1 species
UACGGAGGGGGCAAGCGUUGUCCGGACUUACUGGGCGUAAAGGGUGCGUAGGCGGUUGCAUGCGUCCGCGCUGAAAUCCCGAGGCUCAACCUCGGGGCGCGUGCGGAUACGAUGCGACUUGAGGCUCGGAGAGGGUGGGAGAACUCCUGGUGUAGUGGUGAAAUGCGUAGAGAUCCGGAAGAACACCGGUGGCGAAGGCGGUCUGCUGGGCAGUUGCUGACGCUGAUGCGCGACAGCGUGGGGAGCGAACAGG